UGACUGUACUAAGGUAGCAUAAUCAUUAGCUUUUUAAUUGGUGGCUGGAAUGAAAGGUUAUAACUAGGAAGGUAGUGUUGUUUAUAUAUUUUGAAUUUAAGUUAAGAAUAAAAAUGUUUUUAUUAAUCUUUGGGACGAUAAGACCCUAGAAGUUUUAGAGUAGUUUGCUCUUUGGUUGGGGUGACGAGUGAAGAUAAGAUUCUUUAUUAUUAGGUUAGAAAAUGAGUUAAUUAAUUACUCUAGGGAUAACAGCNUUAUUUAAUUUGAGU
rnacentral:rRNA from 1 species